GUCUGUAUGGGGGUUUAUAGAGUCUGGCCUGCCCAUUGGGUUACUAAAAGGCCGCGGUAUAGUGACCGUGCGAAGGUAGCAUAAUCAUUAGUCUUUUAAUUGAAGGCUUGUAUGAAUGGUUGGACGAGAAGUAAUCUGUCUCUAUUGAAAAAAUUGAAUUUAACUUUUGAGUGAGAAGGCUCAAAUGAUCUAGAGGGACGAUAAGACCCUAUAAAGUUUAACAUUAUAAUAAUAAAAAGUUAGGUAGAAGAGCUUAUUAUUGUGAAUAGUGUUUUGUUGGGGCGACAAGAACAUAAAUAAUUUAACUGUUCUUUUUUGUAUCAAAGAUGUUUGAAUUAAUGAUCUUUUUAAGAGUAAUAGAGUAAAUUACUUUAGGGAUAACAGCGUAAUUUUUUUUGAGAGUUCCUAUCGACAAAAGAGUUUGCGACCUCGAUGUUGAAUUAAAGAUUCUUUAUAGUGCAGAAGCUAUAUGAGAAGGUCUGUUCGACCUUUAAAUCUUU
rnacentral:rRNA from 1 species